GGGCCGUUAGCUCAGUUGGUAGAGCAUCUGACUCUUAAUCAGAGGGUCGCAGGUUCGAAACCUGCACGGCCCA
rnacentral:tRNA from 5 species